AAUAAGCGCAACCAUGAGUUUCUGUGUCUAAUUUUGAUUGUCCGUCUUAUUUGAAACUUUUUUAUGAUUAGUAUUUUUUGUUAUUAUUAGAUUAUAAAACAUGAAUAAUACUUUAUGUGUGACUUAUGUUUUUUUAGUUUUCUUUAAAAAAAAUUAAAUAAGACGAACAAUUAAAGUUGGAUACGAAAACUCAUGGCUGCGCUUAUU
rfam:Oryza sativa Japonica Group DNA, chromosome 4, cultivar: Nipponbare, complete sequence.